UUGAUCCUGGCUCAGAAUGAACUCUUGGCGGCGUGCCUAACACAUGCAAGUCGAGCGAGAAAGUCCCUUCGGGGAGCGAGUACAGCGGCGGACGGGUGAGUAACGCGUGGACGAUCUACCCAAUGAUUCGGGAUAACCUUGCGAAAGCGGGGCUAAUACCGAAUGGUCUGGGCAUUUUAAAAUGUGCCUGGUAAAGGUGGCCUCUGAUGUAAGCUAUCGUCUUUGGAUGGGUCCGCGUCCCAUUAGCUUGUUGGUAGGGUCAUGGCCUACCAAGGCGACGAUGGGUAGCUGGUCUGAGAGGAUGAUCAGCCACACUGGGACUGGAACACGGCCCAGACUCCUACGGGAGGCAGCAGUGGGGAAUAUUGGGCAAUGGGCGCAAAGCCUGACCCAGCAACGCCGCGUGAGGGAAGAAGGUCUUCGGAUCGUAAACCUCAGUCAGGAGGGAAGAAAUGGGUUGUCCUGAACAGGGAUGGCCUUUGACGGUACCUCCAGAGGAAGCACCGGCCAACUCCGUGCCAGCAGCCGCGGUAAUGCGGAGGGUGCAAGCGUUAUUCGGAAUCACUGGGCGUAAAGCGCACGUAGGCGGCUUUGCAAGUCAGGUGUGAAAGCCCUCGGCUCAACCGAGGAAUUGCACUUGAAACUGUAGAGCUCGAGUUCGGGAAGAGGGUGGCGGAAUUCCAGGUGUAGGAGUGAAAUCCGUAGAUAUCUGGAGGAACACCAG
rnacentral:rRNA from 1 species